GAAAUAACUCUUGUUUAAAUUUGUUGCAUCUAUUGAGGAAAUUUAGAAUAAAGUUAACCUAAUUAUAACUGUGAUGAAAAUCUUGUGUUUUCUCUUUUUCUCUUUCAGAUUUAUGUCCAACAAGACCAACAUCAUCAAGUGAAACUGAAGCAGUAACUGCUACAGAUCAGCCUUCAUGUCGGUACAACUGUGGUUAUUACAUGGGAAGCUGCUCCUGCACAAGCUACUGUGAAGCCUAUGGCAACUGUUGCCAUGACUACAGCUAUCAAUGUUCAUCAUAUUUCACCGAGACUCCUGCGACACAUAUGAUACUCUUAACUAAUUGUCUACUUUUAUACAGAAAAGUACUCAAUCGU